AUACAAACCUGUUCCUGAUGUCUUUUAUCUGAUGAGUCUGUAUCCCAUCCCUUUUCAUCCAACACAAUAACAGUAAAAUUCUCUUCAUCAACGGUGGCUUGAAAAAUUCUUUCUUUCGCCUCGCGGUAAAAAGUGCACUGAAAGCCUUCCGCAAUUUGAUGCUCGUUUUCAUCGGGUAAAUACAUAUGAUGGUUCUGCUUAUCAAAUUUGCAGUUGGAAAGAUAAUCCGAUAGAAUUGCGUCUUCUUCAAUACAUACGCUAUCUUUGUCGGUCACAUAACGGGAACC